rnacentral:RNase_P_RNA from 2 species
GUAGUCAAUCGGUCUGUCGCUCCGUGAGGGGAGGAAAGUCCGGACAACGCAGAGCACCCCACCACCUAACGGAUGGCUGUUUGCGAGGGCAGAGUAAGGUAGAAGAAAAUAACCGCCUGUUUUUUUUAAUUUCAGGUAAGGGUGAGAAGGUGAGGUAAGAGCUUACCGGUCAGCUUGGUAACGAGCAGAGCCGUACCUCUUGGGGGUUGCAAGGUCAUGUACACCGGCGCAUGUAGGGCUGCUCGUCCGAUGCCGGGGGGUAGAUCGCUGGAGCUUGUCGGCGACGGCAAGUCGAGAUAAAUGACAGACACCUGAGCUCAGGUACAGAAUCCGGCUUACAGAUUGACUGCUUUU